CUCGGCCGCUUCCAUCUUUCCUUCUUUACAAUAUGCAUGAAUCAAUGUGCUGAAAGUGACGACAUUAGGNNNNNNNNNNNNNNNNNNNNNNNNNNNNNNNNNNNNNNNNNNNNNNNNNNNNNNNNNNNNNNNNNNNNNNNNNNNNNNNNNNNNNNNNNNNNNNNNNNNNNNNNNNNNNNNNNNNNNNNNNNNNNNNNNNNNNNNNNNNNNNNNNNNNNNNNNNNNNNNNNNNNNNNNNNNNNNNNNNNNNNNNNNNNNNNNNNNNNNNNNNNNNNNNNNNNNNNNNNNNNNNNNNNNNNNNNNNNNNNNNNNNNNNNNNNNNNNNNNNNNNNNNNNNNNNNNNNNNNNNNNNNNNNNNNNNNNNNNNNNNNNNNNNNNNNNNNNNNNNNNNNNNNNNNNNNNNNNNNNNNNNNNNNNNNNNNNNNNNNNNNNNNNNNNNNNNNNNNNNNNNNNNNNNNNNNNNNNNNNNNNNNNNNNNNNNNNNNNNNNNNNNNNNNNNNNNNNNNNNNNNNNNNNNNNNNNNNNNNNNNNNNNNNNNNNNNNNNNNNNNNNNNNNNNNNNNNNNNNNNNNNNNNNNNNNNNNNNNNNNNNNNNNNNNNNNNNNNNNNNNNNNNNNNNNNNNNNNGAAAUCCUCUUCCAUGAAUGAGAUCGAUUGCAGAAACAGCAGCUCUUCUGCUCAUCAUCCUUAAUCGACGGUGAGAUUGGAUCUGAAGAAAGGGAUGAAUGGAGUUUGCGAUUUUACUGAAAAUUUUAUGCUGAUUUCUUCUGUACUGAUUCACUACCGAUUUCUUAUAAUGUGCAAAAAGCUGCCUACAGAAUUUUGGGCUUCAACAAAUAAUAUUUGGGUUCGAAAAUGUUUUGGGCUUCAAAAAUAAUGUUUUGUGAAAUUGGUUGAAACUAUAACUUGGCCCGAUCAUGAAUUUUAUGAAAUGUUUCAAAUUAACUUUAAAUUAGGGGCACGACUUUAAGAUCAUAUUUAAAAUAUAAUAAAAUGUAAAAUAAUUUUCAAAAUAAUUUUAAAUCCGCGCGAUACACGGUGAAUCAAUGACAUGUUCAAAUAAAUAAUUAUAAAUAUUUAAAAUAUAAUAAAAUGUAAAAUAUAUUGUAAAAAUAAAAGAAAAGAAACCAUAUUAAUUACUCAAUAAAACCUCAGAUUUAAAAAUGUAAAAUUUCAAUAUUGCAUAAUGUGUAAUAAUAAUCAUAGUUAUUAAAUUAUUUUUAAAUUAUUUGAUAAUAAAAAUUAGUAUUACACAUUAUUAUUAUAGAAUAUUAUACAUCAUAAUGAAUAACUACUUUUAUAUACAAACAUAAAUAAAAAUGCUGAAAAGUUUAAAGAAGAGAGAAAAUAAAAUAUUUUAAAUUUUAAUUUUUAAUAACUUAUUCAUUUUAAAUUUAUUUUUGAUGAUUCUUAUACCAUAUUAAAGAACUUGUUAUGAACUUAAAUUUUAGAAACAUAUUAAAUAUUUUUUCAUAAGGUUAUAUUGGGACAUCUAAAAGAAAAUAUUUAAUGAUAUGUUUGACUAUAUUUAAAUAAGGUUAUUUUAGUAAAAGAAAAUAUUUAAUGCUAAUUUAAUUUAAAAAGUGAACUAUAUAUUGGUACAUCUAAAAGAAGAAUAAGGGACUACAUAUAUAUGUAGGUGGAACAGAGGGAGUAAUAUAGUUUUCCGCUUUUGAUUUGUCUAAGUUUUACUUUUGUAAGUAAAAUGCAUUGUACUUUUGUGUUAAACUAUAUAUUGCUUUUUUACGAAAUUAUAAUUCGACAUGUUCAAGAUAGCUAUAUAUAUCAAUAAAUUAAGAAAACUAGAUAUAGAAUAAUCAAUGAUAAUAGAUGUUCUCAUUUUGAUAAACACAAGUUGUCCCGUUGUGUGAAUGAUUUAGCUCCAAGCGAUCAUUAUUUGUUACUCUCUCUGUCCACGAAAGAACUUCAUAUAUUUUCUUUUUGAACGUUCACAAAAAAACUUCCUGCUUAUUUUUGGACUAUAUACCCCACCACUUAUAAUUACUUACUUUUAACUUUUUGACAACUCUCAAUAUUAAUUAUACUACUCCCUCCGUUCCACGAAUCUUGACACGUUUUCCUUUUUGGGCCGUCCCACGAAUCUUGACACGUUUCCUUUUUGGCAAUAAUUAUUACCUUCUCUCUCCUACUUUAUCUACUUUUAUUACAUUCUCUCUCAUUACUUUANNNNNNNNNNNNNNNNNNNNNNNNNNNNNNNNNNNNNNNNNNNNNNNNNNNNNNNNNNNNNNNNNNNNNNNNNNNNNNNNNNNNNNNNNNNNNNNNNNNNNNNNNNNNNNNNNNNNNNNNNNNNNNNNNNNNNNNNNNNNNNNNNNNNNNNNNNNNNNNNNNNNNNNNNNNNNNNNNNNNNNNNNNNNNNNNNNNNNNNNNNNNNNNNNNNNNNNNNNNNNNNNNNNNNNNNNNNNNNNNNNNNNNNNNNNNNNNNNNNNNNNNNNNNNNNNNNNNNNNNNNNNNNNNNNNNNNNNNNNNNNNNNNNNNNNNNNNNNNNNNNNNNNNNNNNNNNNNNNNNNNNNNNNNNNNNNNNNNNNNNNNNNNNNNNNNNNNNNNNNNNNNNNNNNNNNNNNNNNNNNNNNNNNNNNNNNNNNNNNNNNNNNNNNNNNNNNNNNNNNNNNNNNNNNNNNNNNNNNNNNNNNNNNNNNNNNNNNNNNNNNNNNNNNNNNNNNNNNNNNNNNNNNNNNNNNNNNNNNNNNNNNNNNNNNNNNNNNNNNNNNNNNNNNNNNNNNNNNNNNNNNNNNNNNNNNNNNNNNNNNNNNNNNNNNNNNNNNNNNNNNNNNNNNNNACUUUUAACUUUUUGACAACUCUCAAUAUUAAUUAUACUACUCCCUCCGUUCCACGAAUCUUGACACGUUUUCCUUUUUGGGCCGUCCCACGAAUCUUGACACGUUUCCUUUUUUGGCAAUAAUUAUUACCUUCUCUCUCCUACUUUAUCACUUUUAUUACAUUCUCUCUCAUACUUUAUCAAUUUUAUACUUUAUUAAUUACACACUUAAAACACUAAUCUACAACUCCUUAAUUCUCGUGCCGAACUCAAAUGUGUCAAGACUCGCGGGACGGAGGGAGUACAUUUUUAUCAUUCCCAAUACACUCAACAACUUUUUUUUCUUAAAACUCGUGUCACUCCCUCCUAAGAAGUUCUUUCCUGAACGGAAGGGAGUUUUUUUUUUUUUUUAAUUAUUUAUAGUUUAUUAUUUAAUAUUGUCGAGUUGGGUUAAAUCUGUAUACUUGACUAUUAUGUGUAGGAGUCAUAAUUAUGUAAUUAACCCAUUUUAGUGCAAAGUUCAUGGUAUCUUACUUUGUGUCCCACCUUCAAUUUUUUUUUUCUUUCAUGUUUCUUUCUUCAAUUUGCAUUUUAUAUGUUUUAGUAAAUAGGAAAUUUAUUCCAUCCAAUUCCGGUGUAUACUUAUUUUAAUUUAAUAGUACUCUGCAAAUUAUACAAGGAAAUGUAAAUCACACUAAGAAAUUCGAGUGCAACAUGCAAGAAGUAGUCUGGAAAUCUUCUAUACUAUAAAAACGUUCAGAGAAUCGUUAUCUACAAAAGUGCUCGACAGAAUGACCAAGAGAAUUAGGAAACGACCAUAACACUGCUCAGUGAAUCCGCAUACCAACUAUUCGCGAAAAUGUCUAAAUGAAAAAAAAAAUCAUAUUGCAAAUACGGAGAAGUAGCGCCGUGGAGAAACACCCAUGAAAGAGUGCAAGUAGCGCAAGACUACAAUACCCACAAUUUUAACACAACAAACAUAAUUUCACAAGUGAUCGAAUUCACACUUAUUCCACUCCUAUUAAAUAGUUCAUGCAAGAGACUUCUACUUUUUUUUAACACAACAAACCAUAAUAAAUCUAUUCUUGAAAUUCCCAUUUCUAACAACGAAGAUUAAGCCCAGGAUUAACUCCGAGUUUGGCUUCAAUAGCUCGUAUAUUAAUUAACACGAGAAGUCACGGUCCCCCGGAUUCACGUUGUUGCAUUCAAGGUCUCCAUUAAUGGCACGAAUCGUGGCCCCAAAUCGACGUAAUAGCCGAGUGCACGUUAUCCAUCCAAAACCACAGUGCAGUCUUGAAUGAGAUAACUCACCUCAGACUCGAGAGAAGAAGAAGUAGGGACUCAAUGAGACCAACUGCAGCUCUGUCGGAGCGAGCUGUCAUACGAUAGCCAUAGGCUGACGCAACGUCAUCCAACGUCUCCACUCUCCAGUACUCAUCCGUUGCAAUUGCUCCACCUAAUCACAAAUUCCACAAUGAGUGCUGCUGAGGAUGGAUAUAUUCAUUAACGUAUGUUUGUAACUAACCUUGAGAAUUGGCCUCCCAUGAAGCUCAGCAAAGACAUAGCAUUCCUUGUCAAUUUUGAGCACAAACUUUCUUAACAACCUCUUGCAAUUUCUCAUCUUUCCUUNCAGAUAUUGCAUAGUCUUCUCGAAAUAAAAAUUAAAUAUAAUUCAUAGUAUUAUAAUAAAAAUUUAUUUUUAUUUAAAUACACUUACGUCCACUCUCAUGCGUGACAUGCGCGAAGAACGCUGCAACCUCCCGCUUAAUGUCUGGAAAAUACAAACUAUAUGUAAUUAAUGAAUUUUGCCCUUAUUUAUUCUAUGUUUGACUUGAAAGAGUGCAAGUAGCGCAAGACUACAAUACCCACAAUUUUAACACAAGAAACCAUAUAAUACAUCGAUUCUUGACAUUCCCAUUUCUAACAACCAGGAUUAACUCUGAGUUGGCUGCAAUAGCUCGUAGUAUAGUAAUUAACACGAGAAGUCACGCCGGAUUCGCGUUCUUGAAUUCAAGCAAGGUCUCCAUUAAUGGCACGAAUCGUGGCCCCAAAUCCUUUCCCCGAUGUAAUAGCCGAGUGCACGCUAUCCAUCCAAAACCACAGCGCAGUCUUGAAUGAGAUAACGGCAUCUCUGGCGACAAUUUCAGGGUUGUUCAAUCCAUCACAGCCGAUGGCUUGGCCGGCUGGGCCGUAGUUGUAGUUCCACGAUAUUUGCAACGGGCCUCGGCCGUAGUAGCCCUUGUCGGCCACGCACGGCCACUGCCUGUUGCUUUGGUCGCAAUAGUUUCUAGAUCGGCCUAAAAACUUUUUUUUUUUUUAAUGUAUGAUAUUUGUAGUGAGGUAUAUAUGACAUAAGGAGUGGUUAUUAUAUAUACAAACCAGAAACCUUGUAUUAAAUAAGUCCACUAUGAAUUUACGACGAAAUAUUAUAAAUUACUGUAUGAAAAAUAGAUGGUUUCAAAAAAUUAGAAGUUCAUUCUAGCAAAAUACAUGAAUCAACUCACAAUCAAAAAAUUAAAAAUAAUUCCUAUUUUAUACAAUAUAUAUUUGAAUUUAUUUGAACCACUCCAAUAUAGUGUUUCAAUCUCAGGUUUGCAGCUCCGAGACAGGAAUCAUUUGGGGACAGAAUACUAGCCCUUCACCACAACAUUUUUUUAUUGUAAACGUACAAAAGCAUUUGUAAUAUACCAACAUCGCACAACCCUUGAAUGAUCCAAAUGUUAGACACAAAAGAAAAGCAGAGUAGAUUGAGACCCUCUAUCUGGAUAACUCGAGAGAAGAAGCAGCAGAGACUCAAUGAGACCAACUGCAGCUCUGUCGGAGCGAGCUGUCAUACGACAGCCAUAGGCUGACGCAACGUCCUCCAACGUCUCCACUCUCCAGUACUCAUCCAUUGCAAUUGCUCCACCUAAUCACAAUUUCCACAAUGAGUGCUGCUGAGGAUGGAUAUAUUCAUUAACGUAUGUUUGUAACUAACCUUGAGAAUUGGCCUCCCAUGAAGCUCAGCAAAGACAUAGCAUUCCUUGUCAAUUUUGAGCACAAACUUUCUUAACAACCUCUUGCAAUUUCUCAUCUUUUCCUUCUCGUAUUCUUAGUUCCUGAAGCAAAACAGAUAUGAUCUCCGAGUUAACCUUGAAUCCUCUCCUGCACAUCUCUUCCAAGAAAGGAAUCGCCUCAUGCAUCUUAUUGCUCUUCACCAUAUUCAACACAAUAAUGUUGAACGUAACGCCAUUAGGCGCGCAACCUUUUCUCUCCAUCUCCAGCAUCAACCUCUUCGCCUCCCCUUCACGCCGUUCAUGGUGGAGGGAAUCGAGUAUCGUGUUGUAGAUUACCACAUCUGGAUUUAAGCCCUUGGAACGGAGAUGGUUGAAGAGCCUUAUAGCAUCAUCAAGUCUUCUAACCUUGCACAAGCCGUUGAUCAUAACACCAUGCAUUACGAUAUCAGGAUUCACCCCUUUAGCCUCCAUAACCCGAAAAAACGCAAACGCCUCAUUAAUUCGACUGAUCCUACAGAAGCCAUCUAACAAGAUGUUGUAGGUGUGCAUAUCCGGAUGCAGCUUCUGAGCUUCCAUAUCCUGGAAAAGCUUCCAUCCAUCUAAAAAACUACUUUUGGCGUAUUAGCCCGCAUCAUCGCGCUGUAUGACACGGUGCAGUGCUUGAGACCUACUCGCGGUAUUUCAUCAAAUAAACGCCAUGCUUCAUCAAGGUUUCCCGCCUUGCAGUAUCCCUUAAUCAAGAGAGCAUAGGUGAAUAUAUCGUGCUUGAUUCCCGUCUUUGCCAUUGAAUCGAAGAGCUCUCUGGCUCUAAUCAUCUCGCCCUGCGAGCAAUAUCCAUCUAUCAAUACGUUGCACGUGACAACAUCAGGCGAGAUGCCCUUCUCUACCAUCUCGGACAGCAACUGUAGAGCAUCAUCAACCAUCCCAUGCUUGGACAACUCAUCCAAUAAUAUAUUAUAAGUAUACAAGUUGGGACAAAUAUUAUGUUGCAUCAUAGUUUCCAACAUCUUCUCGGCCGCUUCCUUCUUUCCUUCUUUACAAUAUGCAUGAAUCAAUUUUAAGUAAAUCGGAAAAAUUUUUGCUCAUAUUUCCAACAUUCUCAGCCGCUUCCAUCUUUCCUUCUUUACAAUAGCAUAAUCAAUGUGUGAAAGUGACGACAUUAGGAUAAACAUUUUCUUGCGUCAUAAUUUCCAACAUUCUCUCAGCCGCUUCCAUCUUUCCUUCUUUACAAUAAGCAUCAAUCAAUGUGUUGAAAGUGACGACAUCGGGUGAAACUUUUUGUUGCGCCAUACUUUCCAACAAAUUCCCAGCCUCUUUCAUCCUUCCUUCCUUACAGAAUCCAUCAAUUAGUGCAUUAUAAACCUUAACGUCGGGACUCCACCCACUACUUUCUAAUCUAUGAAGCCAAUCAUGGGCUGCAAUGACCAGUCCAGCUUUGCACAACCCAUCUAUCACGUGCAGAAUCAUAAUAGCAUGAGGUUCACAAAGUUUUAAAUCCAGAACCUUUUCAAACAAAUUCACGGCUUCAGCCUCCUUACCAACUAAGAAAAACCCAUUAAUGAGAGUGGCGAUAGUCGCGGCAUCUGGUUCGUAACCAAUCUUGAAAAAGAAUCCCGUUAUAGAAAAACCAGAGUAUAUAUCUUUCAAGCGACAACAACAGUUAACAGAAAUACUCAUGGUGUAAUCAUUAACCCGGACACCCAUCCUAAGCAUUUCACCAAACAUAUAAAGGGCAAAAGAAUACUGCUCAAUCUUUGCAGUAACACUCAAAAGAUUGUUGUACAUUCGAACAGAAGCCUCCCGCCGCAUACUCUUCAUUUUUCGAAACAAUUCAAUAGCAUCGUCAAGCUUUUUAACACAAUUGAAAUCGAUUCUGGGCUGAUUAGGUUGAAAAGCCUUGGAAGAGAAGAGAGAGAAUACAGGAGAGAGAAUACCCGAUUUCUGCGAGCAUCAUUGAGAAAUCCUCUUCCAUGAAUGAGAUCGAUUGCAGAAACAGCAGCUCUUCUGCUCAUCAUCCUUAAUCGACGGUGAGAUUGGAUCUGAAGAAAGGGAUGAAUGGAGUUUGCGAUUUUACUGCAAAUUUUAUGCUGAUUUUUUUGUAGUGAUUCACUGCCGAUUUCUUAUAAGUUAUAAUGUGCUAAAGGCUUCCUAAGCAUUUUGGGCUUCAAUAAUAACCUUUGGGCUUGAAAAUGUUUUGAGCUUCAAAAAUAAGUUGGCCCAAAGUUACUUUUAAGAUCAUGAUAAAUAUCUUUAGGAGUAUAAAAUAUAUAAAUAAAUUUAUGUUUGUAUAUUUUUAAUUUGAUAUAAAAAUUAUAGUAAUAUAUAAUUUUAAUUGAAGAAGUUAUAAUCAUUCAAAGAUUCUUCAAUUAAUUAAAGGAAUUGUUGUUUUUUCAUUUUCUAUAUUUUCUCUCAACUCACAUCCAUUUUUUAUUAUUAUUAUUUUUGGUUUCUUUUCUAUUUUGAUUUUAUUUCAUUUUUAAGAUUUUUAUUUAUAUUUAUUUUUAUGCUUUUUAAUAUACCUAAUUUUAUAAUUAUGAUAAUUUAAUGAACUAGAGUGUAGCAAAUUACAUUGGUUCACUUUAAAACUCUUUAACCCUAUACAUAAAAUUUCUAAGAUGAAAAUUAGUAUUAAUUCUAAUAUAAAUUUGUAAGAAUGAACAAUUUGUAUGCGAAUCUCAACCACUCGUCCAUCAACUCAAGAAAUUGAAGAAAAUGAUUCAACAAAGAAAAAAAAACAUUGUCAAUUUUAAUUUAUGCAAAAAAAAAACAUUGGAAGUUUGGAACUACAAGGAUAUAGAAUAGUAUUUUUUAUUUUUAUUUUUAAAUUAGGAAGUAGAGUGCAAGAGAAAAUAUAUUUCGAUAAGAAUUUGGCCCAAUAUAAUUUGGGCUGUGCCAUGAUUUGUUAGGUUCGGCAGCUCAAUAUAACCAACUUGAAAUUUACGACAAAGAUGAAAGGCUAAAUCAAUAUUCAAAAAAAUGCAUUUAAUGUGCUUUAAAAAAAUAUUAUUUGUAUACAAUUGUUCUAUUUUGUCUUUAUUUAUUACUUUGAAAUAUAUGUUCACAGUCGUUAAAAAUGUGUAAAUUAGUUAAAAAUGGUAGGCCUAUAUUUUUUUAAGAGUUAAAUUUUUUCGAUUUACGAAAGCAGAUCAUUUAUAGACUAACAACGAAGAUUAGGCCCAGGAUUAACUCCGAGUUGGCUACAAUAGCUCGUAUAGCUAGUAAUUAACACUAGAUGUCACGGUGCCCGGAGUCGCAUUGUUGCGUUCAAGGUCUCCAUUAAUGGUGCGAAUCGUUGCCCCAAAUCCCUUCCCCAACGUGAUAGCUGAGUGCACGUGAUUCAUCCAAAACCACAGCGCAGUCUUGAAUGAGAUAACGGCAUUUCUCAAGAGGGAUUGAACGGAUAGAAGCUAGAGUAUUUGUGUCACGACAUCGUUGUCGGGUGGAGUAGAAGCAGCCAUUGCUAUGUGUAUCAAUAAUCAAUGACAAGGGUAUUUAUAUGUGCUUGGUGGGACGGAGGGAAUAUCAAAUUUUGAUUUAUUUUUUCAAAUCUACAAAAUUUGUGCAUAUAUACCUACAUAAAUAUUAGUGUAUUUUGAUCAUUAUUUCAAAAAAUAAAAAACCAUAUUAACUCAGUCAAAUAUUUAAAAUAUUCUGUAAGACUGUCUCACGAUCUUGGCCAGAGUUUCAAUCUGAAUCUUGACCCAUGAGACAGUCUCAAACAAAUUUGGGGAAUGCAUCAAGAUUGACAUGUCUCACAAGCAAGUAGAUAGUCAAGGAAGAGUAAUUCGUAGAUUUAGACAAACGAGAGUCGAAGUUAGUUACCAUUCCCGACCCGAUCAGAUAUUGCAUAGUCUUCUCGAAAUAAAAAUUAAAUAUAAUUCAUAGUAUUAUAAUAAAAUUUUAUUUUUAUUUAAAUACACUUACGUCCACUCUCAUGCGUGACAUGCGCGAAGAACGAUGCAACCUCCUGCUUAGUGUCUGGAAAAUACAAACUAUAUGUAAUUAAUGAAUUUUGCCCUUAUUUAUUCUAUGUUUGACUUGAAAGAGUGCAAGUAGCGCAAGACUACAAUACCCACAAUUUUAACACAACAAACCAUAAUUUCACAAGUGAUCGAAUUCACACUUAUUCCACUCCUAUUAAAUAGUUCAUGCAAGAGACUCUACUUUUUUUAACACAAGAAACCAUAUAAUACAUCGAUUCUUGACAUUCCCAAUUCUAACAACGAAGAUUAGGCCCAGGAUUAACUCUGAGUUGGCUGCAAUAGCUCGUAUAGUAAUUAACACGAGAAGUCACGGCGCCCGGAUUCGCGUUCUUGAAUUCAAGGUCUCCAUUAAUGGCACGAAUCGUGGCCCCAAAUCCUUUCCCCGACGUAAUAGCCGAGUGCACGCUAUCCAUCCAAAACCACAUCGCAGUCUUGAAUGAGAUAACGGCAUCUCUGGCGACAAUUUCAGGGUUGUUCAAUCCAUCAAAGCCGAUGGCUUGGCCGGCUGGGCCGUAGUUGUAGUUUCACGAUAAUUGCAAUGGGCCUCGGCCGUAGUAGCCCUUGUCGGCCACGCACGGCCACUGCCUGUUGCUUUGGUCGCAAUAGUUUCUAGAUCGGCCUAAAAACUUUUUUUUUUUUUAAUUUUCUUCUCUUGUAUGAUAUUUGUAGUGAGGUAUAUAUGACAUAAGGAGUGGUUAUUAUAUAUAAAAAACCAGAAACCUUGUAUGAAAUAAGUCCACUAUGAAUUUACGACGAAAUAUUAUAAAUUCUGUGUGAAAAAUGAUGAUUUCAAAAAAUUGAGUUCAUUCUGCAAAAUCAUGAAUCAACUCACAAUCAAAAAAUUAAAAAUAAUUCCUAUUUUAUACAAUAUAUAUUUGAAUUUAUUUGAACCACUCCAAUAUAGUGUUUCAAUCUGAAUCUUGACCCAUGAGACAGUCUCAAACAAAUUUGGGGACAGAAUACUAGCCCUUCACCACAACAUUUUUUUAUUGUAAACGUACAAAAGCAUUUGUAAUAUACCAACAUCGCACAACCCUUGAAUGAUCCAAAUGUUAGACACAAAAGAAAAGCAGAGUAGAUUGAGACCCUCUAUCUGGAUAACUCGAGAGAAGAAGCAGCAGAGACUCAAUGAGACCAACUGCAGCUCUGUCGGAGCGAGCUGUCAUACGACAGCCAUAGGCUGACGCAACGUCCUCCAACGUCUCCACUCUCCAGUACUCAUCCAUUGCAAUUGCUCCACCUAAUCACAAUUUCCACAAUGAGUGCUGCUGAGGAUGGAUAUAUUCAUUAACGUAUGUUUGUAACUAACCUUGAGAAUUGGCCAUCCAUGAAGCUAAGCAAAGACAUAGCAUUCACUUGUCAAUUUUGAGCACAAACAUUCUUAACAACCUUUUGCAAUUUCGGAUCUUUUCCUUCUCGUAUUCUUUGUUCCUGAAGCAAAACAGAUAUGAUCUCCGAAAAAACCUUGAAUCCUCUCCUGCACAUCUCCUCCAAGAAAGGUAUCGCCUCACACAUCUUAUUGCUCUUCAGAAGAUUCCACACUAUAAUGUUGAAGGUCACGCCAUCAGGCGCGCAGCCACUCUUCUCCAUCUCCUCCAUCAACCUCUUCGCCUCCCCUUCACGCCCUUCACGGUAAAGGGAAUCGAGCAUCAUGUUGUAGAUUACCACAUCUGGAUUUAAGCCCUUGGAACAGAGAUGGUUGAAGAGCCUCAUAGCAUCAUCAAGUCUGCCGCCCUUGCACAAGCCGUUGAUCAUAACACCAUACGUUACAAUAUCAGGAUUCACCCCUUUAGCCUCCAUAACCCUCAAAAACGCAAACGCCUCAUUAAUCCGACUGAUCCUACAGAAGCCAUCUAACAAGAUGUUGUAGGUGUGCAUAUCCGGAUGCAGCUUCUGAGCUUCCAUAUCCUGGAAAAGCUUCCAUCCAUCUAAAAAACUACUUUGGCGUAUUAGCCCGUGCAUCAUCGUGUUGUAUGACACGGUGCAGUGCUUGAGACCUACAAGCGGGAUUACAUCAAAGAAACGCCAUGCUUCAUCAAGGUUUCCCGCCUUGCAGUAUCCCUUAAUAAAGAUAUUAUAGGUGAAUAUAUCAUGCUUGAUUCCAGUGUUUGCCAUUGAAUCGAAGAGCUCUCUGGCUCUAAUCAUCUCGCCCUGCGAGCAAUAUCCAUCUAUCAAUAUGUUGCACGUGACAACAUCAGGCGAGACGCCCUUCUCCACCAUCUCGGACAACAAAAGCCGAGCUUCAUCACCCAUCCCACGCUUGGACAGCCCAUCCAAUAAUAUAUUAUAAGUAUACAAGUUGGGACAAAUAUUAUGUUGCAUCAUAGUUUCCAACAUCUUUUCAGCCGCUUCCAUCUUUCCUUGUUUACAAUAUGUAUGAAUCAAUGUGCUGAAAGUGACGACAUUAGGAGAAACACUUUGUUGCUUCAUAAUUUCCAACAUCUUCGUAGCCGCUUCCAUCUUUCCUUCCUUACAAUAUGCAUUAAUCAAUACAUUGAAAGUGACGACAUUGGGAGAAACAUUUUGUUGCGCCAUACUUUCCAACACAUUUUCAACCUCUUUCAUCAUUCUUUCUUUACACAAUCCAUCAAUUAGUGCGUUAUAAGCCCAAACAUCAGCCCUCCACCCACUACUUUCUAAUCUAUGAAGCCAAUCAUGGGCUGCAAUGACUUGUCCAACUUUGCACAACCCAUCUAUCAAGUGUAGAAGCAUAACACUAUUUGGCUCACAAAGUUUUAAAUCCAGAACCUUUUGAAACAAGUUCACGGCUUCGGCCUCUUUCUCAACAAAGAACAACCCUUUAAUGAGAGUGCCGAUAGUCACGACAUUUACUUCGUAACCACUCUUGAAAAAGAAGCCCAUUAUAGCAAACCCAAAGUUUAUAUCUUUCAAAAGGCAACAACAGUUCACCGCAAUAGUCAUCGUGUAAACAUCAACAGGGACACCCAUCCUAAGCAUUUCAUCAAACAUAUAAAGGGCAAAAGAAUACUGCUCAAUCUUUGCAGUAACACUCAACAGAUUGUUGUACAUUCGAUAGAGAAUAGUCCUUUUUUAUUUAUUUUUUUUAAAUUUAGGAAGUAGAGUGCAAGAGAAAAUAUAUUUCGAUAAGAAUUUGGCCCAAUAUAAUUUGGGCUGCGCCAUAAUUUGUUACAACAAAGAUGAGAGGUUAAAUCAAUAUUCAAAAAAAUGCAUUUAAUGUGCUUUAAAAAAAAAUUACUUUGUUUACAAUUGUUCUAUUUUGUCCUUAUUUAUUACUCUAAAAUAUAUGUUCACAAUCAUUAAAAAUGUGUAAAUUAGAUAAAAAUGGUAGGCCUACAUUUUUUAAAGAGUUAAAUUUUUUCGAUUUACGAAAGCAGAUCAUUUAUAAUAGGACAAUUCAAAAUAGAAUACGGACCGACCACUUUUAAUGGACGGAGGUAGUAAAAAAUAAAUUAAAAAAAAACUUUCAUUCUCACCAUAGGUUAGCAAAUAUCCUCAGCCUCAGCUCAGAAUCUUAUGAGAGAUUGUAUAGUUUAAUUUGCAUCUAAAAACCCGAGUUUGAAAUAUGUAUUUGGACGUCUACGAAGUGUUCGACAGAACGACCAAAAGAGUUAGGAAAGGACCUCAGAGCACUGUGCAGUGAACAGUGGAUCAUCCAUACCAACUAUUCGAGAAAAUGUCUACAUGAAAAAACAAAGAAGAGUAAAAAUUAACUUCAUCAUUAAUUUGUUGAUACGAACCUCAUACAACUUCGAGCCUCUGCCUACUCCUUUCACCUCAACUUUCGAGAAGAACUUGGAUUAUAUUUUCAUUCAUUGAAGGAUCAAACCCUGGCAUACAACUCGAUAUUUAUAAACAUAAGAAAAUUUAUUUAGUACAUGCAACACACAACACACGCACAUAUAUCACUUCGAGAGUGAUCAAAUUCACACUUAGUACAUGCAAGAGACUUCCACUUAUUUAUAACACAACAAACCCUAACUGCAAGCAGGCUUGGUUAAUAGCUCUUGCAAGAGGCCACGCUUGUGUUUCCAACAAUCCCUCCUAACAAAGAAGAUUAGGGCCGGGAUUAACUCCAAGUUGGCUGCAGUAGCUUUUAUAGUAAUUAACACGAGCAGCCACGGCGGCUGGAUUCGCUCCGUUGCAUUCCUUGCCGUUAAUAGCCCUGAUCGUCGCCCCAAAACCCUUCCCCGAUGUGAUAGCCGUGUGCGCGUUAUUGAUCAUCCAGAACCUCAACGCAGUCUUGAAUGAGAUAGCGGGAUCUUUGGCCUCCACAUCAAGAUUUUUCAAUCCAUCAUCGAAGUUUAAGGCUUGGCACAGGUCUGGAUGGGAAACAAGGAGUAUGUUAUAUGUAACAAGACCAUUUUGUAUGAAUGAUUCUCUUUGUAUAUAUAUCACGAGUAGUUUCAUACUCUAUUUCACACAUUGUGUCUCAUUUUGUGGUCCAAGGCCAAAGAGAUAAAAAAAAACUAAAAUACAUAUUAUUCCUAGAACUAUUGUAUCUUCACAUAAAGACAUCAUCAAUCAUGAUCAAUUAUUUGUUCUAGACAAUCAUAAUGUAAAAAUUAUACAAAUUAAGUGACACAAGGGGGUGUUUUAAUAAAUAUAUGAGUAAAAUGUUUAAGAAAAAUAAUAACCAAAAACUGUUUUUAUGCAAAAAAAAAAUAAAAAUUAAAGAUCGUCUGACGGUGAACUUAAACAUGAGUACCGCUAGACCAGCACAUACACAAAAUAACAAAGUAAUAGAGCUUUUUUAUUUUUUAUUUUUUAUUAUUUUUUUUAAAUACACUUACGUCCACUCUCAUGCGUGACAUGCGCGAAGAACGCCGCAACUUCCCGCUUAGAGUCAUUGGCGGAGCCGGUGGCGCCGAAUUUCGGGAACGGCCGAGUUGCCUCAAGGAAGGCGGCGCGUGUGUACAAUCCCUUUCCGGCGCAGCCCUCCGCCGCUUGAUUAGCAAUUCCGUUGAAGAAAUUAUCCGUCACUAUGUCACCAACUUUAUUUGGGUGACAUGGCCCUUCCUGGCAGCCGGGCCCACAGUAAGCAUUGCCUUUGCCGCAGUAGCCGUAUUGGCUGCAGCAGAAGUUGGCAGCGCAGCCGCAGUUUUGGCCGAAAACGAAUUUUCCGGUGGCCAGAAGGAGAGCAAGAAGGGUGUAGAUAGUGAGAGAGGGUUUCAUGAUUGGAGAUAAGAGAGAAAAUGUUGUGUUGGUGUGGAGAUAAAGGCAAGGAUUUAUGGGUAUUUAUUGAGUAAAUGAAGAUGUUUUCAAGCUAGGAACAUUAAAAAUUUGUUACAAUGGAUGAGUUCAUUAUUGACUUUAAUUUGGGGUAGGAUAUUUAAUCUAGAGUAUAUACUAUGUGUGGGCUAUAAAAAGUGGAAUAGUCAAAAUUUGUACAACUAUUAAGAGCUAGUGAAUCUAGUUUUAAAUGAUAACUAAUUAAUUGUUAUCAAAGUUAUCAAAUGGUUUUCUAUUUUUUGUUUGGAUAUAUGACUAUAUAUAGGGUAAUUAGUCCCUCGAGUUGCACUCUACGUAAUUAAAUUAAUAAAGUUUUCCGCUUUUGAUUUAUCUAAGUUUUAUUUUUGUAAGUGAAAUGCAUUGUAUUUUUGUGUUAAACUAUAUCUAUUGCUAUUUUACGAAAUUAUAAUUUGACAUGUUCGAGAUAGCUAUAUAUAUUUAUCAAUAAAUUAAGAAAACUAGAUAUAAAAUAAUCAAGGGAUUAUAGCCAAAAAAUACACGAACUUUGAUAAAAGUUGCAAUUUUCACCUGAACUUUCAAAUUAGCCAAAAUAUACCUGAACUUAUAUUUUUUGUUGUAAAUUCACUACAACAAAAUUCACCUAAUAGGACUCUCGUGAGUGUCCUAAUAUAUGACCUAAUAGGACUUUCAUUACUAUAGGACUUUCAUAAGGAGAGUCCUAUUUGCGCUAGUCACAAUAUGCAUAAUAGGACACUCGCAAUGAUAGGACUCUCACAAGUGUCCUAUUAUGGGAAGCUUGAAAAACUCAAUUUAGGACACUCAGGAGUGUCCUAUUACAGUUUUGUGUGAAAAUACACAUAUUUUUAGUUGAUGUGCAUCCUAUAGCUCAUCAAAUUACCACCUCCUCCACCAACAAUAUUAUAUUAUCAUAUAUAAAAGAUGAAACCAACAUAAAACUGAAGAAUAAGUACAUUAUACUCUAGCCAAAAUAAAUCAAUUAAAUUAAAAAUUAAAAGUGAUACAUCAGCCUAUCUCUACUAAAGUAAAUAAACAAAACAUGUAUUACUAAGGUCUGAACUAAUAGAAAUAAAUUAACUAAAUAAAUAAUAGAUCAUCUUCGAUACAUCAAGGGGAGGCAAAAGCUCGCCAAAGUGCAUCUUCACUCCCCGAAAAGAUUGAUAUCUUCAAGCGUGACUUCAGAGUCACAACAAUUUUCUUUACAGUAUUAUAGUCCUUGAACUGCAUUGAUCAUAUGAAAAAGAAUAAAUUAGCUUUUGGGGGGAAUUAAGAGAAUUAUGCAGAUUCUUGGAAUAGAGAAAAGUAACACAUGUAACCAAAUCUCUUGACUAAAUAUAUUUUAGAGGGAGUCUCUCAACCAAAAACUGGUAUAUAGAGUAAAGAGACUAAGAUUUAAAAGGUGCUUUGGCUUCCUUUUUCUACGCAAGACUCUGACAUUUUUCAUUUUCCACAUGUCCCAUAGCAUAAUACAUACUCCCUCCGUCCACGAAAUGAGUACCCAUUUGUGGACGGCACGGGUUUUAAGAAAUGUAUGGAGUGUAGUGUGAAUAGUUUAAGGGUCCCACUUUUUUAGUGUAUUAAUUAAAGAGAUGUGUGGGGUACACUUGCCAAAAAGGGAAAUGGGUACUCAUUUCGUGGACGGACGAAAAAGGAAAUAUGGGUACUCAUUUCAAUUUAAUUUAUUUUAAGGCAGCGCAGAAAUAGUAUAAUUCAUAGUAGUGAUUAGAUUGGAUAAGACAUUUUUGAACAAGAGUCCCAUUAAAUAUAAAAUAGGACUCAUAACCUGAAAUAGUCCUCAUAUAAGCAUCCCCAAAGGCUGAUUUUGUUGUAGUGAUUUCACCUGAACUUGCAAUGAUUGAACUCCGUCGAGGUGAAAUUUACAACAAAAAAUAUAAGUUCAGGUAUAUUUUGGUCAAUUUGAAAGUUCAGGUGAAAAUUGCAACUUUUAUCAAAGUUCGUGUAUUUUUUGGCUAUAAUCCCAAUAAUCAAUGAUAAUGGAUGUUAUUUUUAUUGUCUAGCUCUUCUCAUUUCUCAUUUUGGUAAACACAAGUUGUUGCGCUGUGUGAAUGAUUUAGCUCCAAGCGAUUAUUAUUUGUUAUUCUUUUAUUUUAAUUAUUUAUAGUUUAUUAUUUACUAUUGUUGGGUUGGGUUAAAUCUGUAGACUAGACUAUUAUGUGUAGGAGUUAUAAUUAGGUAUCAAUCAAUAAUAUUCAUGUUUGGAGAAUUUUAAGGUUUUGGUUGGCCUUGCGUGAUCAUGAAAAUUGGAUUUUUUUUAUUUCACGAGCUUAUCAUGAAUUAUUAAUCCUAUCAUAAAACAAGAUCGUUUUCAGUGUAAUAUAUACACACAAGAUCAAAGAUUUAAACCUUCUCAAAUAGAAGACAAUUAAAUGUAUUUAAUGAAAGUGGGGUUGAUGAAAUAUGAACAAGGAAAAGCAAAUGCUAGCUUAAGUAUCUUCUAUUUCUCAAUAAAUAAAACGUUCAGAAAAUCGUUUUACUACAAAACCUUAUAGUAUAAAUUAGUUAUUUGGAACUAAAUAUAUAUUGUGAGAUAUAUUGUGAGUUAUAUAUUGUGAGAUAUAUUGUGAGUUAAACCAAAUAUAUCUACAAAACCAAAUAUAUAGUUAAACCAAAUAUAAGGUUAAACCAAAUAUAUAGUUAAACCAAAUAUAAGGUUAAACCAAAUAUUAGGUUAAACCAAAUAUAUAGUUAAACCAAAUAUAAGGUUAAACCAAAUAUAAGGUUAAACCAAAUAUAUAGUUAAACCAAAUAUAAGGUUAAACCAAAUACUACAAAUACUACAUCAUUAUAGUAUUUGUAGUUAAACCAAAUACUACAAUUACUACAUCAUUAUAGUUAAACCAAAUAUAAGGUUUUACUACACAACCUUAUAUAUUGUGAGUUCAUAGUAUAAAAGCAUUUGGAACUCAUUUGGAACUCAUUGUUUGUAGUCUAACCAUAUUCUAUAUAUAGGAUAGGGUUAAUUAGUUAUACUACAAAACCUUAUAGNNNNNNNNNNNNNNNNNNNNNNNNNNNNNNNNNNNNNNNNNNNNNNNNNNNNNNNNNNNNNNNNNNNNNNNNNNNNNNNNNNNNNNNNNNNNNNNNNNNNNNNNNNNNNNNNNNNNNNNNNNNNNNNNNNNNNNNNNNNNNNNNNNNNNNNNNNNNNNNNNNNNNNNNNNNNNNNNNNNNNNNNNNNNNNNNNNNNNNNNNNNNNNNNNNNNNNNNNNNNNNNNNNNNNNNNNNNNNNNNNNNNNNNNNNNNNNNNNNNNNNNNNNNNNNNNNNNNNNNNNNNNNNNNNNNNNNNNNNNNNNNNNNNNNNNNNNNNNNNNNNNNNNNNNNNNNNNNNNNNNNNNNNNNNNNNNNNNNNNNNNNNNNNNNNNNNNNNNNNNNNNNNNNNNNNNNNNNNNNNNNNNNNNNNNNNNNNNNNNNNNNNNNNNNNNNNNNNNNNNNNNNNNNNNNNNNNNNNNNNNNNNNNNNNNNNNNNNNNNNNNNNNNNNNNNNNNNNNNNNNGGUUUAACCUUAUAUUUGGUUUAACUAUAUAUUUGGUUUAACCUUAUAUUUGGUUUAACUAUAUAUUUGGUUUUGUAGUAAAACCUUAUAUUUGGUUUUGUAGAUAUAUUUGGUUUAACUCACAAUAUAUCUCACAAUAUAUAACUCACAAUAUAUCUCACAAUAUAUAUUUAGUUCCAAAUAACUAAUUUAUACUAUAAGGUUUUGUAGUAAAACGAUGAACUCACAAUAUAUCUCUUCACUAUCUAUGAGUUCCAAAUGCUUUUUAAAUUAUAUUUUAAAAUGAGUUUAUAUUUAUAUAAUCCCUAUAUAUAAAACUAUUUUUACGUCAUCGAUCGGUAACAUUUAACUAGUUAUGUGAGAUUUGUCUAUAAUUUAUUUAUAAAUUAAAUGGUGCAAACUCCCUUACUUCAAACACAUGUCAUAAUUAUCAUUAGCAUCGAUCAAACAUAAUUUAUUCCAGCAGCCCUGUUUCAUUUAUUAAUCAGCUCAUGCAAGAGGCCACAUUGAUUUAUUCUAUAAUGAAUCCCUCCUAACAGCGAAGAUUAGGCCCGGGAUCGACUCCGAGUUGGCUACAAUAGCUUGUAUAGUAAUUAACACGAGCAGUCACGGCGGUAGGAUUCGCCCCAUUGCAUUCGAUGCUGUUGAUAGCCCUAAUCGUCGCCCCAAAACCCUGACCCGAUGUGAUAAUCGAGUGCACGUUGUUCAUCCAAAACCACAAUGCGGUUUUGAAUGAGAUAGCGGGAUUUGUGGCCACGAUAUCGGGGUUGUUCAAUCCAUCAAAGCCUAUGGCUUGGCCCGCCGGGCCGUAGUUGUAGUUAUACGAUAUUUGCAAUGGGCCGCGGCCGAAGUAUUUUUGGCCCGGUGUACAUGGCCACUGUGUAUUGGUACUAUCGCAAUAGCUGUUAGCUUGAUUUAUCUCUCUUGUGUAGCAUAAGUCUGCAUAGGAAAAAAAAAAGAUUUACAUAAGUAAAAUGUUAUUAUUAUUAUUAUUAUUAUUAUUAUUAUUAUUAUUAUUAUUAUUAAGUUGGUAAGGGUAUGUAUUACCAAGUACUAAAUGAGGAGCUAAUUGUUAAAACAGGACCAUAACUUUUAGUGUUUUUCAAAAAAAUGACUAUAUGUUACAGAAUUUGAAAUUAUUACGUAAUUUAUAAAAUUAUUUGUUCAACAACAAAAAAAAAACUUAACGUCCAGUCUCAUGCGUGACAUGCGCGAAGAACGCCGCGAUCUCUUGCUUAGAAUAGGCGGCGGUGCCGAAUGUCGGGUACGGCUGAAUCGCUUGGAGGAAGGCGGCGCGUGUGUAGAAUCCCUUUCCGGCGCAGCCCGCCGGCGCCUGAUUAGCAAUUCCAUUGAAGAAAUUAUCCGUCACUAUACUAGCAACUGUAUUCCCUCCCGACGAACCGGUGCACGGCCCCGAACGGCAGCCGGGCCCACAAUAAUCGUUGGUGGUGCCGCAGUAGCCGUAUUGGCUGCAGCAGAGGUUGGGAGCGCAGCCGCAGUUCUGGCCGGAAACGUAGUUUCCGGUGGCAAGAAGGAGAGCAAGUAGGGUGUAGAUAGUGAGAGAGUGCUUCAUGUUUGGAGAUGAGAGAGGAAAUGUUGUGUUGGUGUGGAGAUUAAGGCAAGGAUUUAUGGGGUAUUUAUAGAGUAAAUCAAGAUAAUGUGAAGCUAGGAACGUUGGAAAUUUGUUACAAUGGAUGAGUAGAUUAAUUGACUUUUAGGGUCUGGGCAAUAAUGUUAUAUCAGAGUACCUUACAAUAUUAGGUAUUUAGGUAUUUGUUGAAUUUAAUGUGAUGAAAACUUUAUCUUAUUUUGCGUCGGCUUUCAAAGUUGGAAUUAGUCAAAAUAGAGUUACACCACCCUAGGUGAAUAUUAUCGAUGUGUAAUAAUUUACAAAUCACAUAAUGUAAAUCUUAUUAAGAAAUUCCGGUGAAAUUAAUCAGUAAUAAUUUGCAAAUUACGUUAAUGAGACUUAGUUCAAAUGACAAAGCUGAGAUACCCAAAUACUCUCAUUUAUGAAAGGUUUUGGAGGUCAUCGCCUGCUUGCGGGUGACUUAUUUGAUUAUAUAAUGGAUAACCACUUGUAAAAAAAAUAAAAAAAAUUUGCAAAUCACAUAAUGUAAAUCUUACUAAGAAAUUCGAGUGAAAUUAAAUAUGCUCGGUCAAUAUAUGCAUAUCCACGAGAUCAAGAUUUAAACCCUUUCAAAUAAAAGGCAAACGUAUUUAUGAAAUAAGAGAAAAAAACAUAUACUAGCUUAAUUCUAUAGACAAAAAUAGUUAGUUCUAAUUCUAUAUCUCAACAAUAAGAAAAUGAAAAAUAAUUAACCCAUUUUAGUGCAAAUAUAAUUCAGUUGACGUGGUCAUGGUCAAGCCUAACAAUUGACAAACACAUGCCGCAAUUCUUCAAAACCACACAAUCACUCCUCCACAGAUGUGGAGUUAUUCCAUAAAAGGGUUGCUCCAAAUCUACAAUCAUCAGAUGACUCCACAUCAAUUUACUCCUUUCACAUCUCGAAAAGUAAAUCGUCAUCGAGCGUUCAUCCUUUGCAAGAAUCUCAUCUUCUUCUUUUAGGAAUUGUGAAUAAUAACUAGUGUUAUGAUUCACCAUUGUGACAGCACGAAACACUUCAUUCUUCAUGUCAAAGGUUAGUAUAAUUACCUUAUCAUCUUUUUCUCGCGCUAGCCAGUGCGCAAAGUGGCCAUUCUUGCACGACGACUUUAUGGGCUUAACGAUCUCCAAUAGCUGAGCAAGCACGCCGCCGCCGCCCAAAUCCCUCCAAGAAUCCGUCGCUCUCGAAUACAGCUGGGCGUGGAACUGGAGGUAGCUGUGUUCGGUGUAAUACACAUGCAUCAGCUCCACCACUUUGUAAUCUUUGUCGAAACCAAUCCCGACGUCGCGCCUGGCAAAUAAUCGGCAUGAUGGGGAAAGAAAAGAGGGAGGAUUCGGUAGAUUCUUGAAUUGACCUAGAAAAGGGUUGCAUAUGGCUAUGGAGGGCACCUUGAAUUUCCUGUUCACAAUGCCAAUUAGACCCUUCACCGGCCCAACAAACUUGAUUCGCGAGAAGUAACAAAAGGCGUUGUUGUACGACUCCAAUGACUUCCCGUUGUCUAGGAGCUUUACUGAUAGUUUCGGAUCUGGAUCAUCGCGAAAAGGAUAAGAAAAUUGUAGAUAUACAACGUCGUUUUGUUGUUGUUGUUGUUGUUUUUGUUGGUAUGCAUGCCAGAAUUUGCAGACAGAUCUGAAUCUCAAGAGGGAUUGAACGGAUAGCAGCAAGAGUAUUUGUGUCACGACGUCGACGUCGUUGUCGGGUGGAGUAGAAGCAGCCAUUGCUAUGUGUUUCAAUAAUCAAUUACAUAAUUUUGGCCUAAUCAUAAACAUAUAUUUUUUCUUAUAUGAUAUAUGUAAGCUUAAUUUUGGCCUCAUCAUAAACAUAUAUUUUUUCUUAUAAGCUUGGAUAUUAGCCUAAAACAAAUUGGGCUUAAUAUAUAUCAUAAACAUAAUUCUUUUUAGUUCAUAGCCUUUUAUUGUAUUCUCCAUAGCCUAACAUAAAUUGGGCUUAAUAUAUAUCAUAAACAUAUUUCUUUUUAGUUCAUGGCCUUUUUCUGUGUUCUCCAUGGCAAAAAAUAAAUUGGGCUUAAAAUAUAUAAUAAACAUACCGUAUAGUUUGGGUGAUUCUAUUCACAGUCUCAUUUUACUUUGUAUAGCCCUCUAUUUAAAAGAUGCAAUGAUUAUUGAUCCAAAAAACCAUUGUUAGUAGGUGUGUAAAAUGGCGUUGAAACUGGUGUCAUACAGUUUUUUGGCAGAAGUUUAAUAUGCAUAAACAUGUUUCUUUAUCAUAUUAUGAUAAAGGGCUAUAAAUAUUUUAAGAUAAAACGAUAUAAAUAUUUUCAGAUUACAAUUGAGAGUUACACAUAUUUAUUUAAAUGAAAUUGUUAAUUUAUUAUAAAUUUAAUUUAAUUUGGGAACUAUGAAGUAUAGGAUAAAAAUAUAAAUUUAUAAUUAUUAUUCAAGAUAGGAGGCUAUAGAAAGUAAAAUAGGGGCUAUGAAUAGAACCACCCCUGUAGCUACUGUAUUACCAGAAAAUGAAACCUAAAAUUAUCAAAAAGUAGUAAUAAACAAAAAUGUAAAAUAAUACUAUGAAAAGCGCAUUUUUAACUGUGUCUAUAAUGCUUUAGACAUCGUAAUGUCAUGCAACGAUUUUACGAUGCAAUAUUUUCAAGAAUUCUUGUAUAUAACAUUUUCCAGACCUUUUUAGUUAUAUAUAAAUAAAUUUUUAACUGACAAUUUUUGUAUCAAGCAAUUAAGUAUGUUCAAAGUGUUGGAAAUCUGCUAUGCAGGCGAAAACGUUCAGCAGAAUUAACGCCUACAAAGUGCUCGACCGAACGACUGAAAGAGUUAAAAGAAAGGGCUGCAGAAAUCUUCACACCAACUGUUUGGGAAAAUGCCUUGAAGAGAAAAAGGACUGCAAAAGUGGAGAAGCUGAACCGUUGAGAAUACCCAUUUCUAUAAAUGGUGGAAACUUCAAUUCAAAUACAUUAUUAUCACCCUUAAUGAUCAAACAUCAUUAAUUUAUUCCAUGCAUGCUAAUUAGCUCUCCUAACAACGAAGAUUAGGUCCAGGGUUAACUCCGAAUUGGUUACAAUAACUCGUAUAAUAAUUAACACGAGCAGUCACGGCGGCCGGGAUCCCGCCGUCGCAUUCCCCGCCAUGAAUAGCCCUAAUCGUGGCCCCAAAACCCCGCCCCGAUGUAAUAGCUGUGUGCACCCUAUUCAUCCAGAACCACAGCGCGGCCUUGAAUGAGAUGGCGGGGUCACGGGCCACGAUAUCGGGGUUGUUCAAUCCAUCAAAAUUUAGGGCUUGGCCCGCCGGGCCGUAGUUGUAGUUCCACGUCAGCUGUAGCGGGCCUCUGCCGUAGUACCUCUGGCCCGGCGUGCACGGCCACUGUUUGUUGCUAUUGCAAUAGAUCGCCUUGUUUAUCUCUCGUGUGUAGCACAUGUCUGCAUGGGAAAGAAAAUUAUCAGAUCGUCUGAUGGGUCAAGAUUCAUCACAUAUAUUCAUUAAUAAUACUCCCUCCGUCCGCCAAAAGUAUUCCACUUUGGCCUGGCACGGAGUUUAAUAAAAUGUGUGAUGAUGUUGAUGUAGUGGAGAAAGGGCCCUACCACUUUAUGAGAUAUGUGGUUGAGAUUGAAUUUGAGGUGAGUUUUUGUAAAUAAAGAGUGUUUGUAAGGANCCUACGUCGCCUUACCUCUAAAUCUCCGACCUGACUUGAUUUGUUACGAAAAAAAAGGAAAAAUAAUACUCCCUCCGUCCGUCAAAAGUAUUCCACUUUGGCCGGGCACGGAGUUUAAUAAAAUGUGUGAUGAUGUUGAUGUAGUGGAGAAAGGGCCCUACCACUUUAUGAGAUAUGUGGUUGAGAUUGAAUUUGAGGUGAGUUUUUUGUAAAUAAAGAGUGUUUGUAAGGAUAAAAUAUAAAGGUGGAUGGUGGGACCAUGGCUUAAAAAGGAAAGUGGAAUACUUUUUGCGGACGCCAAAUAUAGUAAUUGUGGAAUACUUUUGGCGGACGGAGGGAGUAUUAAUCUUUGGUUUAUGGUUGUGUUCGGAUAUAGACAUUGAAUUAAUUUAUGGAUUUUGACACGUCAUACCGUCUGACAUGAUAUUAUUUCCCUAGUUCAAUAUUGAUUUCAACUCAUAUAAGUUGUGAGACAGAGAAUCUCAUCGAAUUAUCAAUAUUUUGUGUGAAGCAUUGUACAAUAGCGCUUCUAAAGCCUAAUUAAAUAGUAGGAGUAAAAAAUUUGUCUUUCGAAAUCUCAAACUCAAUACAUGUGUGCAAGAUGAUUAAUGCCCAAGGCCUGAAGUGCUGAAUUUGAUUCCACCGUGGCACGAUUUUUAAUUUAUUUAUUUAGUUGUGUAAUUUAUACAAAAAAAAAAAAAAAAAAAGAUAUAGCUCCUAAGUGAGAGUAACAAAGUUAACAAUUAAAAAGAAAUGUGAUUAUAUAUAAAAUUAUAAUCUUUUAAAAAGUAAAAUAAAAAUAAAUAAAUAAGAAAACUUAGUCCAAUCUAAUGUGUGACAUGCCAUGACCUCACGCUCCGAUUCGUCGGUGGACACGAGUUUCGAAAAAAAUUAAUUAUAUAUAAUUAGUAACAAUAUGUCCGAAAAUAGAAUAGGAAGAUAUUUUAUGGAGGAAUCAAAAAAGAAAAGUAGGAAAAUAUUUCGUGGACUUACGCCCGGUCUCGUGCGUGACAUGAGCGAAGAACGCCGCGAUCUCACGCUUCGAGUCGUCGGCGGACCCCACCGUGCCGAAGUUGGGGUACAGCUGAAUCGCUUGUAGGAAGGCGGCGCGUGUGUAGAAUCCCUUCCCGGCGCAGCCCCGCCACGCCUGAUUAGCAAUGCCGUUGAAGAAACUAUCUGUCACCACGCCGCCGACAUUGCUCCGUUGUUUUGGUCCGGAGACGGUAUUUUUCCGGUGGCUAGGAGGAGAGCGAGAAGGGCGUAGAUAGUGAGGGAAUGGUUCAUUUUGGAGAUAGCUAAGAGUAGUGAGAAAAUAUUGUGUUGGUGUUGAGAAAUAAUGUGGGGAUUUAUGGGUAUUUAAAGAGUGAAAUAAAUAUAUACUCCAUUAUUUUAUUUUAUCUUUAGAAGGAUAAUGGGAAGAGGAAGAUAUCUUGAAGCUAGGAAGAUUGGAAGUUUGUUACAAAUGGAUUAAUUAGUAUAUUAUUGACUUUUGGAAUGCCUUAUAGUGUAUGAUACUAUUUGAUUUUAUUGUGGUGGAAAUUUGUGUUGGAUUUUCCAAAGUGGAGUAGGUAAACUUGACUUACUAUUAAGAGUCAACUCAUAAUAUUUACACCAUAACUAGUUACUUGUAAUCUAAUUAUAUGCUAAAGGAUAUUGUUCACUACAAAUUAUACUUAUAAGUUCAAAUGAGAAGGUAUAUAAUGUACUAUACAUUAAAAAUUAUUUUAGUACUGAAAAUGUGAAGAUUUACUGUGAAUUCAUCACUUUGCUGAACGAUCUCAUAAUUCAUGGAUCAUACUGAAUUUAAAUCUUAAAGGUGUUGAAAAUUUAUUUUCUUUUAAUUCAUUACUUUUCAUUUUCACAAUGAAUUCAUAAUAAUUCAUAUAUGAGAUGUUUGAUUUGAGCGAUAAGCAUGACUGAUAAACAAGCCCAACUUAACUAAACAUUUGGUUUGUAUGAUUCGACUCGUAAUAUAAUUUGGCCCGUAAUUUAAUCAUAUAAUAAAAUGAUCAUUUAUCACUUUAAAAUUGAGUUGAUUAUAUAUAACUAUAUCCGACAUUAUAAACAAUGAGACCAAAUAUAUAAAGACUCCAAAAUAAAAAUAAAAAAACCACGAAAGUGUUUAAUAAAAAUGAAAUAAAAGAAGAAUAUGAAAAACCAACAUACUAGUGAGUCACAUGAUUCUCUAGAGUCUUUGGUCAAUUCUAUAUCUCAAUACAUUAAAAAUAAUAAAUAUUAUAGUCCAAACUUAGGGGGUGUAUUAGUUCAAGAUUUAUGUAGAUUUUAAAAAUCCGUGGAUUUUAAAAGUCUAUAGAAUUCUCACGGAUUCUUCAUGAUUUUGAAUGAAUUCUUGGUCGGAUUUUUAAUGAAUUAGCAAGAAUUUGACGUGAUAUUUUCGGACUUGAAAUCCACAAACCCAAUGAGCGCGGGAAUUGAACGAGCGCUAGACCUACUUUCAGCGGCCGCUAGGGGCCCAUGAGCGCUGGAUACCUAGCGAGCGCUGGGUUCCAGCGAGCGCUCAAACCAUAUAUCACAUCAUUGGAUUUGGUUGGUGCCUAAAAUUUUACCGGUGGUGCACAUAUAUUCCCAACUUUCACACAGUUAUAUAUAUUAUCAUAUAGUAUUUCAAACAUGCAUAUGCGCCUCCCAAUAACUGGAUUUAUGAUUAUUAUUUUGACUACACUGGUUCUAUUUCUAUGUAAUCGGCGCUAUUUAAUUCUAGUGGGUAACUAUUAUUUGCAUGCAUUCCCAUUAUUAUAUAUAUAUCUCUAUCCACUAAGCAAUUUAAUUUCCUAAUGGAUAAUAUGGUGAUGGGAGCUUCCCGAAGAAAAUCAUGGCACCACGAGCGCUGAAGAAACUUGACCGCUGGAAUCAUUGGCAACGGCCGCUAGGGUCCAGCGGCCGCUGGCACCCAGCGAGCGCGGGGAUUUUGCAGGAUUUGUGAAUUCUCGUGGUCUGUGUUCGGAUUUGUUCAUACUUAUUUUUUCAACGAAAUCAAUGAAAGUCGUUCCAAUUUUAAAGUCCAUAGAUUAACGAAUACAUCCAGAUUUUCAUAGACUUUUAAAAGUCUUGAACAAAUACACCCAGAUAUUUAUAGACUUUUAAAAGUCUUGAACGAAUACACCUAGAUUUUCAUAGACUUUUAAAAGUUUUGAACGAAUACACCUAGAUUUUCAUAGACUUUUAAAAGUCUUGAACUAAUACACCUAACCUUUAAAAGUCUGCAGAAAUCUAUUAAAGUCUUAAACUAAUACACCCCCCUUGGUUCACGUGAUCAUGGUCCCCAUAUGUAAUACCGACCUAAUUUUCCACAUUCUCUUUUUUCUCUUUUUUUUUUUUUCUUUUUUUCUUCUAGUAACAUUUUUGUAUUCUCAUCCCUUCUUGUUUAUACCACAUAUAACAAAUAUCUCAUUGAUUUAAUCUAUUUCAAUUUUUUUUAAAAGAUAUUUCCUAAAUAUAACCUACCCCAAUUAACAUUAGCUAAGACUUCAAGUUAAAUAUUAAAAAAGAGGGGGAAAAGGCCUUAAAAUACACAAAGUUUGGACGAAUUCUGAUUUUACACACAACUUUUGAAAUUUGAAAAAAAAAAUACAACAAAUUUUAAUUUUUUUUUAUUUUUUCCUAAAUUUAAAAAUACCCUAAAAUUAGAAACAUAUGAGUUGCUACUACAACCCAACACAGCAAGCUCAUAACCCGUACAUAUAAUGUAUUUAAUGAGCUUCGCAAUUCAACAUGAAAAUAAAGCUUUCUCUCGCAAUCAAACGUUAACUCACAAGAAAAUGAAAAUAAAUUGUAGCAGUUUAAAAUUUAAUGUAUUUCAUUUCAAAUUUCAAAGGUUGUGAGCAUAUUAAAAUUUUAUUUUUAUUUUUUCAUGGAUUAAUGUUUGAUUGCGAGAGAAAACUUUAAUCAAUAUUUUGAAUAUAAAUUUAAAUAUAAAUAUAAAUUUAUAUUCGGUAAACAAAAUUCGGGAUUCGAUGCGAUACUAAACAAAUCAAACUUGAGCACACCAGUAUUCAAUUCGACUCGGUUCGAUUAUACCCCUAUGUAUUCCCAGAAAAUGAAACCUUUUACCAAAAAGUACAAAGAUGUAAAAUAAUACUGUGAAAAGCGCAUUUUCAACUGUCUGUAAUGCUUUAGACAUCGUAUGUCGUGCAACGAUUUUACGAUGCAAUAUUUUCAAGAAUUCUUGAAAUUCACUGUAUCCAGCUUGGAUCCAUAACAUUUUUCAGACCUUUUUAGUUAUAUACUCCCUCCGUCCAUGAAAGAACUUCCUAUGAGGGAGUGGCACGGGUUUUAAUAAAAUGUUGUAUAGUGUAUUGAGAAUGGAGAAAAAGUUGUAAAGUGUAUUGGGAAUUGUGAAAAAGUAUUAAUAAUUUAUUGUGUUGUUUUAAUUAAUGUUAUUUGAGUGGUGGGAAUUGUCUUAAAAGGGGAGUAUUUUUUAAGUGGUGGGGUAUUGUCCCAAAAUAGGAAAAAGUAGGAAGUUCUUUCGUGGAUGUCCCGAAAUAGAAAAAUAGGAAGUUCUUUCGUGGACGGAGGGAGUAUACAUUUUUAACAGACAAUCUUUGUAUCAAGUAAAUAUGUUCAAACUGUUGGAAAUCUGCUAUGCUAUGCUGGAGAAAUCGUUCAGCAGAAUAGACGCCUACAAAGUGCUCGACAGAACGACUGAAAGAGUUAAAAGAAAGGGCUGCAGAAAUCUUCACACCAACUGUUUGGGAAAAUGCCUUCAAUAGAAAAAGGACUGCAAAAGUGGAGAAGCUGAACCGUUGAGAAUACCCAUUUCUAAUGCUGCAAACUUCAAUUCAAAUACACUAAUGAUCAAACAUCAUUAAUUUAUUCCAUGCAUGUUAAUUAGCUCUCCUAACAACGAAGAUUAGGUCCGGGAUUAACUCCGAAUUGGUUACAAUAACUCGUAUAAUAAUUAACACGAGCAGUCACGGCGGCCGGGAUCCCUCCGUCGCAUUCCCCGCCAUGAAUAGCCCUAAUCGUGGCCCCAAAACCCCGCCCCGAUGUAAUAGCUGUGUGCACCCUAUUCAUCCAGAACCACAGCGCGGCCUUGAAUGAGAUGGCGGGGUCCCGGGCCACGAUAUCGGGGUUGUUCAAUCCAUCAAAAUUUAGGGCUUGGCCCGCCGGGCCGUAGUUGUAGUUCCACGUCAGCUGUAGCGGGCCUCUGCCGUAGUACCUCUGGCCCGGCGUGCACGGCCACUGUUUGUUGCUAUUGCAAUAGAUCGCCUUGUUUAUCUCUCGUGUGUAGCACAUGUCUGCAUGGGAAAGAAAAUUAUCAGAUCGUCUGAUGGGUCAAGAUUCGUCACAUAUAUUCAUUAAUAAUAUUAAUCUUUGGUUUAUGGUUGUGUUCGGAUAUAGACAUUGAAUUAAUUUAUGGAUUCUGACUCGUCAUACCGUCUGACAUGAUAUUAUUUCCCUAGUUCAAUAUUGAUUUCAACUCAUAUAAGUUGUGAGACAGAGAAUCUCAUCGAAUUAUCAAUAUUUUGUGUGAAGCAUUGUACAAUAGCGCUUCUAAAACCUAAUAAAAAAUUUGUCUUUCGAAAUCUCAAACUCAAUACAUGUGUGCAAGAUGAUUAAUGCCCAAGGUCUGAAGUGCUGAAUUUGAUUCCACCGUGGCACGAUUUUUAAUUUAUUUAUUUAGUUGUGUAAUUUAUCAAAAAAAAAUUGUUUUGAAAAAAAAAUAGAAAAAGAUAGCUCCUAAGUGAGAGUAACAAAGUUAACAAUUAAAAAGAAAUGUGAUUAUAUAUAAAAUUAUAAUCUUUUAAAAAGUAAAAUAAAAAUAAAUAAAUAAGAAAACUUAGUCCAAUCUAAUGUGUGACAUGCGCGAAGAACGCCAUCACCUCACGCUCUGAUUCGUCGGUGGACACGAGUUUCGAGAAAAUUUAAUUAUAUCUUUGGUGAAUGCAAAAAGGGUUUAUAAUUUAGAAAAAAAUAGUGAGUGAAUUUAUGUGAGUCCAUUAGUGAUAAUGCGUGUAAAUAUAUGGUAAUUUUAAUUGUAAUAAUUAGUAACAAUAUGUUCGAAAAUAGAGUAGGAAGAUAUUUUAUGGAGGAAUCAAAAAAGAAAAUUAGGAAAAUAUUUCGUGGACUUACGCCCGGUCUCGUGCGUGACAUGAGCGAAGAACGCUGCGAUCUCACGCUUCGAGUAGUCGGCGGACCCCACCGUGCCGAAGUUGGGGUACAGCUGAAUCGCUUGUAGGAAGGCGGCGCGUGUGUAGAAUCCCUUCCCGGCGCAGCCCCGCCCCGCCUGAUUAGCAAUGCCGUUGAAGAAACUAUCUGUCACCACGCCGCUGACAUUGCCUCCGUUGUUUUGGCCGGAGACGUAUUUUCCGGUGGCUAGGAGGAGAGCGAGAAGGGCGUAGAUAGUGAGGGAAUGGUUCAUUUUGGAGAUAGCUAAGAGUAGUGAGAAAAUAUUGUGUUGGUGUUGAGAAAUAAUGUGGGGAUUUAUGGGUAUUUAAAGAGUGAAAUAAAUAUAUACUCCAUUAUUUUAUUUUAUCUUUAGAAGGAUAAUGGGAAGAGGAAGAUUGGAAGUUUGUUACAAAUGGAUUAAUUAGUAUAUUAUUGACUUUUGGAAUGCCUUAUAGUAUAUGAUACUAUUUGAUUUUAUUGUGGUGGAAAUUUGUGUUGGAUUUUCCAAAGUGGAGUAGGUAAACUUGACUUACUAUUAAGAGUCAACUCAUAAUAUUUACACCAUAACUAGUUACUUGUAAUCUAAUUAUAUGCUAAAGGAUAUUGUUCACUACAAAUUAUACUUAUAAGUUCAAAUGAGAAGGUAUAUAAUGUACUAUAAAUUAAAAAUUAUUUCAGUACUGAAAAUGUGAAGAUUUACUGUGAAUUCAUCACUUUGCUGAACGAACUCAUAAUUCAUGGUUCAUACUGAAUUUAAAUCUUAAAGGUGUUGAAAAUUUAUUUUCUUUUAAUUCAUUACUUUUCAUUUUCACAAUGAAUUCAUAAUAAUUCAUAUAUGAGAUGUUUGAUUUGAGCGAUAAGCAUGACUGAUAAACAAGCCCAACUUAACUAAACAUUUGGUUUGUAUGAUUCGACUCGUAAUAUAAUUUGGCCCGUAAUUUAAUCAUAUAAUAAAAUGAUCAUUUAUCACUUUAAAAUUGAGUUGAUUAUAUAUAACUAUAUCCGACAUUAUAAACAAUGAGACCAAAUAUAUAAAGACUCCAAAAUAAAAUAAAAAACCACGAAAGUGUUUAAUAAAAAUGAAUAAAAUAAGAAUAUGAAAACCAACAUACUAGUGAGUCACAUGAUUCUCUAGAGUCUUUGGUCAAUUCUAUAUCUCAAUACAUUAAAAAUAAUAAAUAUUAUAGUCCAAACUUAGGGGUGUAUUAGUUCAAGAUUUAUGUAGAUUUUAAAAAUCCGUGGAUUUUAAAAGUCUAUAGAAUUCUCACGGAUUCUUCAUGAUUUUGAAUGAAUUCUUGGUCGGAUUUUUAAUGAAUUAGCAAGAAUUUGACGUGAUAUUUUCGGACUUGAAAUCCACAAACCCAAUGAGCGCGGGAAUUGAACGAGCGCUAGACCUACUUUCAGCGGCCGCUAGGGGCCCAUGAGCGCUGGAUACCUAGCGAGCGCUGGGUUCCAACGAGCGCUCAAACCAUAUAUCACAUCAUUGGAUUUGGUUGGUGCCUAAAAUUUUACCGGUGGUGCACAUAUAUUCCCAACUUUCACACUGUUAUAUAUAUUAUCAUAUAGUAUUUCAAACAUGCAUAUGCGCCUCCCAAUAACUGGAUUUAUGAUUAUUAUUUUGACUACACUGGUUCUAUUUCUAUGUAAUCGGCGCUAUUUAAUUUUAGUGGGUAACUAUUAUUCGCAUGCAUUUCCAUUAUUAUAUAUAUAUCUCUAUCCACUAAGCAAUUUAAUUUCCUAAUGGAUAAUAUGGUGAUGGGAGCUUCCCGAAGAAAAUCAUGGCACCACGAGCGCUGAAGAAACUUGACCUCUGGAAUCAUUGGCAACGGCCGCUGGCUUCUUGGCCGCGGGCGCUGGCACCCAGCGAGAGCGGGGAUUUUGCAGGAUUUGUGAAUUCUCGUGGUCUGUGUUCGGAUUUGUUCAUGCUUGUUUUUUCAACGAAAUUAAUGAAAGUCAUUUCAAUUUUAAAGUCCAUAAAUUAUCGAAUACAUCCAGAUUUUUAUAGACUUUUAAAAGUCUUGAACGACCUAAAUUUUCAUAGACUUUUAAAAGUAUUGAACGAAUACACCUAGAUUUUCAUAGACUUUUAAAAGUCUUGAACUAAUACACCUAACCUUUAAAAGUCUGCAGAAAUCUAUUAAAGUCUUAAACUAAUACACCCCCCUUAAUUGGUUCACGUGAUCAUGGUCCCCAUAUGUAAUACCGACCUAAUUUUCCACAUUCUCUUUCUUCUUCUUUUUUUUUUUUCUUUUUUUCUUCUAGUAACAUUUUUGUAUUCUCAUCCCUUCUUGUUUAUACCACAUAUAACAAAUACUCCCUCCGUCCCACUGUAAGUGAGACCUUUUUUUUGGGCACGAGAAUUAAGAAAGGUGUAUUUUGUGUGUAAGUGAAAAAAGUGAAAAUGUGUUUAAAGGGAAAAACUUUUACCUAAAAAGGAAAGAGUCUCACUUACAAUGGGACGCCCAAAAUAGAAAGAGUCUCAGAUACAGUGGGACGGAGGGAGUAUCUCAUUGAUUUAAUCUAUUUCAAUUUUUUUUAAAAGAUAUUUCCUAAAUAUAACCUACCCCAAUUAACAUUAGCUAAGACUUCAAGUUAAAUAUUAAAAAAGAGGGGGAAAAGGCCUUAAAAUACACAAAGUUUGGACGAAUUCUGAUUUUACACACAACUUUUGAAAUUUGAAAAAAAAAUACAACAAAUUUUAAUUUUUUUUUAUUUUUUCCUAAAUUUAAAAAUACCCUAAAAUUAGAAACAUAAAAGUUGCUACUACAACCCAACACAGCAAGCUCAUAACCCGUACAUAUAAUGUAUUUAAUGAGCAUCGCAAUUCAACAUGAAAAUAAAGCUUUCUCUCGCAAUCAAACAUUAACUCACAAGAAAAUGAAAAUAAAUUGUAGCUGUUUAAAAUUUAAUGUAUUUCAUUUCAAAUUUCAAAGGUUGUGAGCAUAUUAAAAUUUUAUUUUUAUUUUUUCGUGGAUUAAUGUUUGAUUGCGAGAGAAAACUUUAAUCAAUAUUUUGAAUAUAAAUAUAAAUAUAAAUAUAAAUUUAAAUAUAAAUUUAAAUAUAAAUUUAUAUUCGGUAAACAAAAUUCGGGAUUCGAUGCGAUACUAAACAAAUCAAACUUGAGCACACCACUAUUCAAUUCGGCUCGAUCGGUUCGAUUAUACGCCUAUGUAUAAUGUAUUCCCGGAAAAUGAAACCUUUAACAAAAAGUACAAAGAUGUAAAAUAAUACUGUGAAAAGCGCAUUUUCAACUCUCUAUAAUGCUUUAGACAUCGUAUGUCAUGCAACGAUUUUACGAUGCAAUUUUUUCAAGAAUUCUUGAAAUUCACUGUAUCCAGCUUGGAUCCAUAACAUUUUUCAGACCUUUUUAGUUAUAUAUACAUUUUUAACUGACAAUCUUUGUAUCAAGUAAAUAUGUUCAAACUGUUGGAAAUCUGCUAUGCUAUGCUGGAGAAAUCGUUCAGCAAAAUAGACGCCUACAAAGUGCUCGACAGAACGACUGAAAGAGUUAAAAGAAAGGGCUGCAGAAAUCUUCACACCAACUGUUUGGGAAAAUGCCUUGAAUAGAAAAAGGACUGCAAAAGUGGAGAAGCUGAACCAUUGAGAAUACUCAUUUCUAAUACGGCAAACUUCAAUUCAAAUACACUAAUGAUCAAACAUCAUUAAUUUAUUCCAUGCAUGUUAAUUAGCUCUCUUAACAACGAAGAUUAGGUCCAGGAUUAACUCCGAAUUGGUUACAAUAACUCGUAUAAUAAUUAACACGAGCAGUCACGGCGGCCGGCUUCCCUCCAUUGCAUUCUCCGCCGUUAAUAGCCCUAAUCGUGGCCCCAAAACCCCGCCCCGAUGUAAUAGCCGUGUGCACGCUAUUCAUCCAGAACCACAGCGCGGCCUUGAAUGAGAUGGCGGAGUCCCGGGCCACGAUAUCGGGGUUGUUCAAUCCAUCAAAAUUUAGGGCUUGGCCCGCCGGGCCGUAGUUGUAGUUCCACGUCAGCUGUAGCGGGCCUCUGCCGUAGUAGCUCUGGCCCGGCGUGCACGGCCACUGUUUGUUGCUACUGCAAUAGACCGCCUUGUUUAUCUCUCGUGUGUAGCACAUGUCUGCAUGGGAAAGAAAAUUAUCAGAUCGUCUGAUGGGUCAAGAUUCGUCACAUAUAUUCAUUAAUAAUAUUAAUAUUUGGUUUAUGGUUGUGUUCGGAUAUAGACAUUGAAUUAAUUUAUAGAUUUUGACUCGUCAUACCGUCUGACAUGAUAUUAUUUCCCUAGUUCAAUAUUGAUUUCAACUCAUAUAAUUAAGUUGUGAGACAGAGAAUCUCAUCGAAUUAUCAAUAUUUUGUGUGAAGCAUUGUACAAUAGCUUCUAAAACCUAAUUAAAUAGUACAAAAAUUGUCUUUCGAAAUCUCAAACUCAAUACAUGUGUGCAAGAUGAUUAAUGCCCAAGGCCUGAAGUGCUGAAUUUGAUUCCACUGUGGCACGAUUUUUAAUUAAUUUAUUUAAUUGUGUAAUUUAUCAAAAAAAAAUAGAAAAAUAUAGCUCCUAAGUGAGAGUAACAAAGUUAACAAUUAAAAAGAAAUGUGAUUAUAUAUAAAAUUAUAAUCUUUUAAAAAGUAAAAUAAAAAUAAAUAAAUAAGAAAACUUAGUCCAAUCUAAUGUGUGACAUGCCAUGACCUCACGCUCCGAUUCGUCGGUGGACACGAGUUUCGAGAAAAUUUAAUUAUAUAUAAUUAGUAACAAUAUGUCCGAAAAUAGAAUAGGAAGAUAUUUUAUGGAGGAAUCAAAAAAGAAAAUUAGGAAAAUAUUUCGUGGACUUACGCCCGGUCUCGUGCGUGACAUGAGCGAAGAACGCCGCGAUCUCACGCUUCGAGUCGUCGGCGGACCCCACCGUGCCGAAGUUGGGGUACAGCUGAAUCGCUUGUAGGAAGGCGGCGCGUGUGUAGAAUCCCUUCCCGGCGCAGCCCCGCCCCGCCUGAUUAGCAAUGCCGUUGAAGAAACUAUCUGUCACCACGCCGCCGACAUUGCCUCCGUUGUUUUGGCCGGAGACGUAUUUUCCGGUGGCUAGGAGGAGAGCGAGAAGGGCGUAGAUAGUGAGGGAAUGGUUCAUUUUGGAGAUAGCUAAGAGUAGUGAGAAAAUAUUGUGUUGGUGUGGAGAAAUAAUGUGGGGAUAUGGGUAUUUAAAGAGUGAAAUAAAUAUAUACUCCAUUAUUUUAUUUUAUCUUUAGAAGGAUAAUGGGAAGAGGAAGAUAUCUUGAAGCUAGGAAGAUUGGAAGUUUGUUACAAAUGGAUUAGUAUAUUAUUGACUUUUGGAAUGCCUUAUAGUAUAAGGUACUAUUUGAUUUUAUUGUGGUGGAAAUUUGUGUUGGAUUUUCCAAAGUGGAGUAGGUAAACUUGACUUACUAUUAAGAGUCAACUCAUAAUAUUUACACCAUAUAUAACUAGUUACUUAUAAUCUAAUUAUAUGCUAAAGGAUAUUGUUCACUACAAAUUAUACUUAUAAGUUCAAAUGAGAAGGUAUAUAAUGUACUAUAAAUUAAAAAUUAUUUCAGUACUGAAAAUGUGAAGAUUUACUGUGAAUUCAUCACUUUGCUGAACGAACUCAUAAUUCAUGGUUCAUACUGAAUUUAAAUCUUAAAGGUGUUGAAAAUUCAUUUUCUUUUAAUUCAUUACUUUUCACAAUGAAUUCAUAAUAAUUCAUAUAUGAGAUGUUUGAUUUGAGCGAUAAGCAUGACUGAUAAACAAGUCCAACUUAACUAAACAUUUGGUUUGUAUGAUUCGACUCGUAAUAUAAUUUGGCCCGUAAUUUAAUCAUAUAAUAAAAUGAUCAUUUAUCACUUUAAAAUUGAGUUGAUUAUAUAUAACUCUAUCCGACAUUAUAAACAAUGAGACCAAAUAUAUAAAGACUCCAAAAUAAAAAUAAAAAAACCACGAAAGUGUUUAAUAAAAAUGAAAUAAAAGAAGAAUAUGACAAACCAACAUACUAGUGAGUCACAUGAUUCUCUAGAGUCCUAGCUUGGUCAAUUCUAUAUCUCAAUACAUUAAAAAUAAUAAAUAUUACCGACUCAUUAUAGUCCAAAUUAAUUGGUUCACGUGAUCAUGGUCCCCAUAUGUAAUACCGACCUAAUUUUCCACAUUCUCUUUCUUCUUCUUUUUUUUUUCUUCUUCUUCUAGUAACAUUUUUGUAUUCUCAUCCCUUCCUUGUUUAUACCACAUAUAACAAAUAUCUCAUUGAUUUAAUCUAUUUCAAUUUUUUUAAAAGAUAUUUCCUAAAUAUAACCUACCCCAAUUAACAUUAGCUAAGAGUUCAAGUUAAAUAUUAAAAAAGAGGGGGAAAAUGCCUUAAAAUACACAAAGUUUGGACGAAUUCUGAUUUUACACACAACUUUUGAAAUUUGAAAAAAAAAUACAACAAAUUUUAAUUUUUAUUUAUUUUUUAGUAAAUUUAAAAAUACCCUAAAAUUAGAAACAUAAAAGUUGCUACUACAACCCAACACAGCAAGCUCAUAAAUAACUAGGGAUGGCAGUGGAUCUUGGAUGCGGUUCGCAAUUCAACAUGAAAAUAAAGCUUUCUCUCGCAAUCAAACUUAAUACAAAUAUUGUAGCAGUUUAAAAUUUAAUGUAUUUCAUUUCAAAUUUCAAAGGUUGUGAGCAUAUUAAAAUUUUAUUUUUAUUUUUUCAUGGAUUAAUGUUUGAUUGCGAGAGAAAACUUUAAUCAAUAUUUUGAAUAUAAAUUUAAAUAUAAAUAUAAAUUUAUAUUCGGUAAACAAAAUUCGGGAUUCGAUGCGAUACUAAACAAAUCAAACUUGAGCACACCAGUAUUCAAUUCGACUCGGUUCGAUUAUACCCCUAUGUAUUCCCAGAAAAUGAAACCUUUUACCAAAAAGUACAAAGAUGUAAAAUAAUACUGUGAAAAGCGCAUUUUCAACUCUCUAUAAUGCUUUAGACAUCGUAUGUCAUGCAACGAUUUUACGAUGCAAUAUUUUCAAGAAUUCUUGAAAUUCACUGUAUCCAGCUUGGAUCCAUAACAUUUUUCAGACCUUUUUAGUUAUUGUAUCAAGUAAAUAUGUUCAAACUGUUGGAAAUCUGCUAUGCUAUUCUGGAGAAAUCGUUCAGCAGAAUAGACGCCUACAAAGUGCUCGACAGAACGACUGAAAGAGUUAAAGAAAGGGCUGCAGAAAUCUUCACACCAACUGUUUGGGAAAAUGCCUUGAAUAGAAAAAGGACUGCAAAAGUGGAGAAGCUGAACCGUUGAGAAUACCCAUUUCUAAUACUUCAAUUCAAAUACACUAAUGAUCAAACAUCAUUAAUUUAUUCCAUGCAUGUUAAUUAGCUCUCCUAACAACGAAGAUUAGGUCCAGGAUUAACUCCGAAUUGGUUACAAUAACUCGUAUAAUAAUUAACACGAGCAGUCACGGCGGCCGGCCUCCCUCCAUUGCAUUCUCCGCCGUUAAUAGCCCUAAUCGUGGCCCCAAAACCCCGCCCCGAUGUAAUAGCCGUGUGCACGCUAUUCAUCCAGAACCACAGCGCGGCCUUGAAUGAGAUGGCGGGGUCCCGGGCCACGAUAUCGGGGUUGUUCAAUCCAUCAAAAUUUAGGGCUUGGCCCGCCGGGCCGUAGUUGUAGUUCCACGUCAGCUGUAGCGGGCCUCUGCCGUAGUAGCUCUGGCCCGGCGUGCACGGCCACUGUUUGUUGCUACUGCAAUAGACCGCCUUGUUUAUCUCUCGUGUGUAGCACAUGUCUGCAUGGGAAAGAAAAUUAUCAGAUCGUCUGAUGGGUCAAGAUUCGUCACAUAUAUUCAUUAAUAAUAUUAAUCUUUGGUUUAUGGUUGUGUUCGGAUAUAGACAUUGAAUUAAUUUAUGGAUUUUGACUCGUCAUACCGUCUGACAUGAUAUUAUUUCCCUAGUUCAAUAUUGAUUUCAACUGAUCAUAUAAGUUGUGAGACAGAAAAUCUCAUCGAAUUAUCAAUAUUUUGUAUGAAGCAUUGUACAAUAGCUUCUAAAACCUAAUUAAAUAGUACAAAAAUUGUCUUUCGAAAUCUCAAACUCAAUACAUGUGUGCAAGAUGAUUAAUGCCCAAUGCCUGAAGUGCUGAAUUUGAUUCCGCCGUGGCACGAUUUUUAAAAAAUAGAAAAAGAUAGCUCCUAAGUGAGAGUAACAAAGUUAACAAUUAAAAAGAAAUGUGAUUAUAUAUAAAAUUAUAAUCUUUUAAAAAGUAAAAUAAAAAUAAAUAAAUAAGAAAACUUAGUCCAAUCUAAUGUGUGACAUGCGCGAAGAACGCCAUGACCUCACGCUCCGAUUCGUCGGUGGACACGAGUUUCGAGAAAAUUUAAUUAUAUCUUUGGUGAAUGCAAAAAGGGUUUAUAAUUUAGAAAAAAAUAGUGAGUGAAUUUAUGUGAGUCCAUUAGUGAUAAUGCGUGUAAAUAUAUGGUAAUUUUAAUUGUAAUAAUUAGUAACAAUAUGUUCGAAAAUAGAGUAGGAAGAUAUUUUAUGGAGGAAUCAAAAAAGAAAAUUAGGAAAAUAUUUCGUGGACUUACGCCCGGUCUCGUGCGUGACAUGAGCGAAGAACGCUGCGAUCUCACGCUUCGAGUCGUCGGCGGACCCCACCGUGCCGAAGUUGGGGUACAGCUGAAUCGCUUGUAGGAAGGCGGCGCGUGUGUAGAAUCCCUUCCCGGCGCAGCCCCGCCCCGCCUGAUUAGCAAUGCCGUUGAAGAAACUAUCUGUCACCACGCCGCCGACAUUGCCUCCGUUGUUUUGGCCGGAGACGUAUUUUCCGGUGGCUAGGAGGAGAGCGAGAAGGGCGUAGAUAGUGAGGGAAUGGUUCAUUUUGGAGAUAGCUAAGAGUAGUGAGAAAAUAUUGUGUUGGUGUUGAGAAAUAAUGUGGGGAUUUAUGGGUAUUUAAAGAGUGAAAUAAAUAUAUACUCCAUUAUUUUAUUUUAUCUUUAGAAGGAUAAUGGGAAGAGGAAGAUAUCUUGAAGCUAGGAAGAUUGGAAGUUUGUUACAAAUGGAUUAAUUAGUAUAUUAUUGACUUUUGGAAUGCCUUAUAGUAUAUGAUACUAUUUGAUUUUAUUGUGGUGGAAAUUUGUGUGGGAUUCUCCAAAGUGGAGUAGGUAAACUUGACUUACUAUUAAGAGUCAACUCAUAAUAAGAUAUUAUAGGUGAAUAUAUCGUGCUUGAUUCCAGUGUUUGCCAUUGAAUCGAAGAGCUCUCUGGCUCUAAUCAUCUCACCCUGCGAGCAAUAUCCAUCUAUCAAUAUGUUGCACGAGACAACAUCAGGCGAGACGCCCUUCUCCACCAUCUCGGACAACAAAAGCCGAGCUUCAUCACCCAUCCCACGCUUGGACAGCUCAUCCAAUAAUAUAUUAUAAGUAUACAAGUCGGGACAAAUAUUAUGUUGCAUCAUAGUUUCCAACAUCUUCUCGGCCGCUUCCUUCUUUCCUACUUUACAAUAUGCAUGAAUCAAUGUGUUGAAAGUGAAAACAUCAGGAUAAACAUUUUCUUGCGUCAUAAUUUCCAACAUUCUCUCAGCCGCUUCCAUCUUUCCUUCUUUACAAUAUGCAUCAAUCAAUGUGUUGAAAGUGAUGACAUUGGGUGAAACUUUUUGUUGCGCCAUACUUUCCAACAAAUUCCCAGCCUCUUUCAUUCUUCCUUCCUUACAGAAUCCAUCAAUUAGUGCAUUAUAAGCCUUAACAUCGAGACUCCACCCACUACUUUCUAAUCUAUGAAGCCAAUCAUGGGCUGCAAUGACCAGUCCAGCUUUGCACAACCCAUCUAUCACGUGCAGAAUCAUAAUAGCAUGAGGUUCACAAAGUUUUAAAUCCAGAACCUUUUCAAACAAAUUCACGGCUUCAGCCUCCUUACCAACUAAGAAAAACCCAUUAAUGAGAGUGGCGAUAGUCACGGCAUUUGGUUCGUAACCAAUCUUGAAAAAGAAUCCCGUUAUAGAAAAACCAGAGUAUAUAUCUUUCAAGCGACAACAACAGUUAACAGAAAUACUCAUGGUGUAAUCAUUAACCCGGACACCCAUCCUAAGCAUUUCACCAAACAUAUAAAGGGCAAAAGAAUACUGCUCAAUCUUUGCAGUAACACUCAAAAGAUUGUUGUACAUUCGAACAGAAGGCUCCCGCCGCAUACUCUUCAUUUUUCGAAA
rnacentral:lncRNA from 1 species